rnacentral:lncRNA from 1 species
CCGGGACACGAGCCCAGAACCGACUCCACCCCGCUCUGCUCGCGGCACCCCUCUCCUCCUCCUCGUCCUUGGCAUGCGGCUCCCUGGAGGGUGAGAGGAGACAGGGCAGGGUUCUGGGGUCCAGAGCGCAGCCCUGUCCGCAGCCGCCUGAGCAGUCACGUCUCGGCUGGGAUUUCUCCUUCUCUGUGGAUGCUGUAGCAGCAGCACUGAAUCUGCACCCCUCGGGGCUGUUGUGGGGGCAGGAGGUAAGUGAAGUCAGUGACACCGUGUCUGGGCCUGGGGCUCAGUAAAGGACAGGUGUGUACACUUAUCAACUCACACAGGUCUGGGCAUCGAGAGCCCCGCUCCCGACCCAGGGACACCCCUGCCCCUUCUCUGACGCUGGCAGCAGCAGGAGAGGACACUGGCUCCCUGUCUCCUCUUCAAGUGGCGGAGCAGCCGGCCUGUAAGUGAGAGGUGAGUGGGGUCAUAGGUGACCUCAGCUUCUUGUCCCCGUCCGUAUUCCUGGACAAGGAGGAUGGUGGAAGGACGGAGGACAAGGCAGUGCCUCUGGAAAUCCAAAAUGCCAAGUCCCAGCCCAGGUGCCUCCCUCCCACCGAGGAGCCUCUGGUGUCCUGGUCGCCUCUGGACGUGGUGUGGCCACCAGAAGAACCGGGCAGCUCCAAGGGGCCCCCUGCUGGCCUGAGGAGUUGCUGCGGCCACAAAGAAGAGGUGCGCUCACUCCCCACACCCGCUGACCCAGGACCCAGCUCAGGGACCCAGACCAUGCCAAGCACUUCGCUGGGAGCCACCGGGAAACAGCAUCUCCCCACAGCCCUGCGAGCUGGGCCUUUCACAGAUGUGAGGCCCUGGAGGAGACUGUCCCGUCAGGCUGCUCCCAAAAAUCCACUGUCAGGGAAACAAGCAAGAGGCAGAACAUGAAUAAAAAUAACAUGAAAGU